rnacentral:other from 2 species
ACUUACCUGCGAUGAACGUGGGCUUAAGAUGUCUCAAACCGAUGCAUUGUUUACGGGAAUUCAAAUUGUUACUCGGACAACAAGCCAAGUAAGCUAAUUGGAAGUUGAAAAAGUAACUGCGAAUACCCACCUGCUUGAGAGCGGGUUUUGAGGCACAACAAGCUACGUCAGAGCGGGGGAACA